rnacentral:rRNA from 1 species
UACGUAGGGACCGAGCGUUGUCCGGAUUCAUUGGGCGUAAAGAGCUCGUAGGCGGCCACUCAAGUCGAAUGUGAAACCUCGAGGCUUAACCUCGAGCCUGCAUUCGAUACUGGGUGGCUAGAGUCUGGUAGGGGGAUCUGGAAUUCCUGGUGUAGCGGUGGAAUGCGCAGAUAUCAGGAGGAACACCGGUGGCGAAGGCGGGUCUCUGGGCCGUAACUGACGCUGAGGAGCGAAAGCAUGGGGAGCGAACAGG